GCCCUCGUAGCUCAGUGGAUAGAGCACCUGCCUCCUAAGCAGGGGGUCGCGCGUUCGAUUCGCGCCGGGGGCA
rnacentral:tRNA from 1 species